GUCUCCCUACUCCCCUAGGCCUGCCUCUCCACCUUCUUGGCCUGUCUCUCCUCCCCAUCCUCUCUGCCUUACCCAACCCUCUCUCCCAUCCCAUCCAGCGACUUUCUCUCUGCUGCCUCAGACCCUGGAUUAGCGGUCCUUGCAUGAUGAGCCCUUCUUUGUUUAUUUCUCCUUUAACCUGCUUGAAAGAACUCCUUUCUCCUUCGUGGGGAAGCAAGUUGGGAUGGAGCAAGGGCUCUUCCUACCCUACCGUAAGAUAUCGUAGGAUAGACAGCACAGAAGACUACGUUGAGCAUCUAAGAGGAUGUUGUGACCUUGGUCCUGUCAUCUUCAAGACUUGCUGGCUUGUAUUCUGUUUUGUGAUCACUCCCCACAGGGGAACUCUCAGAACUGGGUCUCCUGCCUCUAGGACAUUGUGACCCAAACUGACUGUAAGAUGCUACAAAGGAAAGUACCUGGGCCUUAACACUGCUCACCAACUGCUCAAAUCAAGUCAAACCUGAGUCUGUAAACAGGAUGGUAAAAUCGUUAGGCCCUGGAUAAAGAUUUUUCUCACCAGGAUAACAGUCUCCAGACAACACUGGAAACAGCUACGUCUUCUGCCAAGGUUCAUCAACACAAACUGCUCUUCUCACAAGCCAUCCAGAGAGUCAUGACUUCUAAUGGAAAGAAAGCAUCAUAAUGAAAGCAAGGAGCAGCAACUCUGCAAGGCUUCAGUUAAGAUGUGCAGAAACAUUCUAGCAUGGACUCUCCAUUUUCCCAGUCUCUGUGCAUGAUUUACUUAAACUGACUUGUGAGCACUAUAAUAUCAAUCUCUAACAUGACAUCAAAGUUUAAACUGUGUGAAUCAUAUGCAUCUCAGAAAAAGUAUAUUUGUGAGGAUUCAAAAUAUCUAAAUGAAUAUAUUUAAUAUCUAGAUUUUUUUAUUAUAAAAUAGAACCUUAUCAUCAAUUAGAAACUUCACUGCUGCCAAAUUCUUCUAAUUAGAGGUUGGAGAUAUUUCUUAGUUGAUAGACUGCCUGCCUAGCAUGCAUGAGGUCUGGGGUUUGAGUCUCAGAACCUCCAAACCUGGUCAUAAUGACACCUGCUUCUAAUCUCAGCACUCAGAUGAUAAAGAUGGAGAAUCAGAGACUCAGAGAUAACCUUGGCUACAUGAGACUGUCUCAGAAAACAGAAUGAAUAAUAAAACCCACUGAUAGUUGCUGUACUUGGGGCACCACAGUUCCCUCUUAAUAUAAAACUUCUUGAGCAACCUGCAAAAGGGAGAUCACCUUGGUGAUCCUCUGCUCCUGAAGCAGGUCGUACCCCAAGGAGAGAUGUUCUCACAGUUCAGAAUCAUAGCCUCAGACCUUCAUGGGAACAGCAUUGCUGAAGACCAGGGACAGAGAAGGGAGCUGAUUAAGCCUUGCCAUGCAUCCCUCAGCUCAUGACCAGAGAGCAUGCGCUAGCUGCAGCCUGGGCUUUCUCUCAUCAGCAGAAAAACAAGAAAAAACAGAUCGAACCUUUUGUCUACUCAGCUCCAAAGUCAAGUUAUUCACUCAAUAAAUUUUGUUGUUUGUCCUUUUAAU
rnacentral:lncRNA from 1 species